GACGAACGCUGGCGGCGUGCUUAACACAUGCAAGUCGAACGGAAAGGCCCUGCUUUUGUGGGGUGCUCGAGUGGCGAAAGGGUGAGUAACACGUGAGUAACCUGCCCUUGACUUUGGGAUAACUUCAGGAAACUGGGGCUAAUACCGGAUAGGAGCUCCUGCUGCAUGGUGGGGGUUGGAAAGUUUCGGCGGUUGGGGAUGGACUCGCGGCUUAUCAGCUUGUUGGUGGGGUAGUGGCUUACCAAGGCUUUGACGGGUAGCCGGCCUGAGAGGGUGACCGGCCACAUUGGGACAGAGAUACGGCCCAGACUCCUACGGGAGGCAGCAGUGGGGGAUAGUGCACAAUGGGCGGAAGCCUGAUGCAGCAACGCCGCGUGCUGGAUGACGGCCGGCGGGUUGUAAACCGCGUUCGCCUGUGACGAAGCGUGAGUGACGGUAAUGGGUAAAGAAGCACCGGCUAACUACGUG
rnacentral:rRNA from 1 species